rnacentral:tRNA from 1 species
GCCUUAGUGGUGAAAUGGUAUACACGAUUGAUUCAAAAUCAAUUUUCAAAAGAAUUGGAGGUUCGAAUCCUCUCUAAGGCA